AUGCUGUGACAAAGCCAUCCAUGGACUUCUACUUUCUGAAAUGUAUUUUUAAACUGGCAAUACAAUGUUCAAAUGGUACAAAAAGACUGGCCUCUUCAAAGGCAUUUAUCAUUCAUCCUUAGAGGUAGUGGUGACCCUGGCAUUGAUGGCUUCCUUAUGCACAGAUGUGUUUAUAUAGUAACCCAAAACAUGCCAUCUUCUACAAGUUACUCAAAAAAAUUUUUUUUUCAUUCUCUUAAUGCAUUCAAGGAUAUACUUGAAUUCAGUGCUAAAGAACUGGUCUCCUAUACCCUUUCCCCGAAGAGCAUUUGCCUUUAUUUCAGUGUAUUUCAGUGCAUCCUUACUUAGUGACUUAGCUACUGGCAUAUGCUUGGGCAUCCAAGUUAAUUCUUUUUGUUUGUUUGCUUGUUUGUUUUGCUUUUGAUAUUAUAAACAAUAAUAUAGCGAAUAUUCUGACAGGUUCAUCAUUUUACUAUACUGAGCAUUUAUCUUCCUCAGAAUUUCACUGGCAAUAAAGUUACAGAGCUUGAAAUCCUUCGUAGAUAUUGCCACUUUUAUUUCCAUUUCUUUUGGGCCAAUUUGUUCUCACUUCAGCAACAGAAGAAGACACCAUCUUACCUAAGUUGAAUGGCAUCUGUCACAUGAUGAUACCUGUGGGUAGAUGUGUGAUGUCUGCUAAUCUCGACCCCAUUUGAUGACAACUCGUUUAUCUUAUGUUAUUACAGUAUUUUAUGUUUUAUUCUCUUCAAUAGUUUAUUUAAAUUUCUUUCUUUUUUUUUUUUUUUUUUUUUUUGAGACAGGGCUUCUCUGUGUAGCCCUGGCUGUCCAGGAACUCACUCUAUAGACCAGGCUGGCCUCGAACUCAAAAACCCACCUUCCUCUGCCUCCCAAGUGCUGGGAUUACAGGCGUGUGCCACCAUUACCCGGCUCUUUUUUAUUUUUAAUACAACAAGAAAUUUAUUAAAAAAGAAACAAACAAACAAAGAAAAUUCCAGAACUAUUUCAGCAAUGUAGUCAGAGCCUUCAUGGGAUGAAGUUGGACCAUCAGAUGGAGCAGGGCAAACCCCUCAGGAAACAUACUGGUUUUCUGGAGGUUUGCUGUGCACAGGAGCCUGGGAUUUGUGUUGAGUCACCAAGGUAAAUCAAGUGCAGGUUUGCACUGAGAGGGGAAAGCUUUGUUAGAGAAUUGUAUUAACAACAGAAGAAGCCAUAGAAAUGCAACAUCCAGUCAUGGAUUCUUCAGGCUGCAGGACCAAUGCUGCCCUGCUGAUCUGAUGGAUUUGCUACUGAUGAUUCCAGAAAGGGACAGUCAUCACCCUGAGUUGUGUACUCAAUUAACGAAGCAAAGUCUUUUCUUCACAGGUGCAUUGUACUCUUUUUAUGUUUUUCUUUUCUUUUUUUUAAUUAAACUAAUAACGUUUAUUUUAAAAUAUACAGCUCGAUAUUAACAUUUUUGACUCAUCAAAAUAAUUUAUAAUUGUUAAAUGUCUCUUAAAUAUACAUAAUAUCUUCUGAAGCUAAAAGUAAUAUGCACUCAACCAGUUUUUAAAAUAUAUUUGGAACAUUAAAUAUGAUAGAAGCAGAAAAAAUAUCUUAUGAACUCCUUUAUGAAAAAAAAAUUGAGACAAGUUCCUGAUUAGACAGAAACCAUUCCAUCUCCAAAGGAAAAUAUGCAGUGUCAAUGUGACUUCAUAGAGUGAAUUGGGUAGUGUUCCUUCUGUUUCUAUUUUGUGGAAUAGUUUGAAGAGUAUUGGUAUUAGGUCUCCUUUGAAACUCUGAUAGAAUUCUCCACUAAACCCAUCUAGUACUGGGCGUUUUUCAGUUGGGAGGCUAUUAAUGACUGCUUCUAUUUCUUUAGGGGUUUGGAGUCUAUUUAAAUGGUUUAUCUGAUCCUGUUUUAACUUUGGCACCUGGUAUCUGUCUAGAAAAUUGUCCACUUCAUCCAUAUUUUCCAAUUUUGUUGAGUAUAAGCUUUUGUAGUAGGAUCUGAUGAUUUUUUUUCAAUUUCCAUGAUUUCUGUUAUGUCUCUCUCUCUCUCCCUUUUCAUUUUUGAUGUUAUUAAUUUGGAUAAUGUCUCUUUCCCUCUGGUUAGUCUGGCUAAGGGUUUAUCUAUCUUGUUUUUUUCUUUUUUUUUUCUGGAUUUCUAGACAGAAUCUGUCUGGAAAAUAGACAAAUGUAUCCAUUCUUAUUGAGUUUUGGGAUUCCUUUCUCUUUAGGGAGGCUACACAAUUGCUUCAGAAAGUCAUGGUCAUAAGAUAGGCUUGGAAACAGGAGUGGUGGCCCAUAUUUCUAAUCUGAGUACUCAGAAAGCAAAACCAGAUGGACCUCUGUGUGUACAAGGCUGGGCUGCUCAAAACAGUAGAUUCUAGAACAAUGAGGGCUGUAUAAAGAGAUCUUGUCUUGGAAAACAAAUAGAAAGAGUCAAUAAGUAUAUUACAUCAAUGGAGAGUAGAAAGUGAUUACUUUAUCUCCGUUAUUCUCUAUCCACGUGAGCAGGUCUCCCGUCUUCAGCAUACACUGAUAGGAGCUUUGGGAAGGGUGGAGAGAAGAUCAGAGUAUGACAUUUUUCAGAAGUCAGUUACCCCAGUUCUCAGAUCUGUCCUGCUUUGUUUCCAACAGCAACAUUUGGGCACAACUUACUAUAUGCUAAAUGCUGGUGCAUUUCAAACUCUUGAGGUAAUUCUAUAAGACAGAGCAGAAGCAAUUAUAAUAAUAUAUGUGGUUGGAAAGACAGGUGAAGCCAAGCACAAUUUGACUCUUAGAAAAAAACCACUGUAAAAUUUGAACAUAACCAAUCCAGUGUUUGAAAAUGUAGAACCCAUCACAACUGUUACAGCUAGCCUGGCUGUUUAUGCUUUUUGAUUUCCCCAACACAAAUCAACUUCAGCAAAGGUAAGAGCUAGUUUCAUCUUAUUUUCUCAGUAAAGGCCUAUGGAUACAUUACAGAUUGACAUUACUUACGGUAAGUACAAAUAUUGACAUAUACCAUAGUGGGUUCUGUUUAUUUGUAUACAAUUUCUGUUGCUUGAAUAUUUUUAUGACAACAUAAUAUGUUGCAGUUAAUAUUUUAUAUACACACUCUCAGCAUGGUUGGCCAAUAUUCACAUUAAAAGCUUUUGGGCUGAAGAAAUAAAAAGGUUAUCACAUGAGUGGUUGUAAGAAUCAUAAUCUAUGAAACUAAGAAACAUACAUUAUCAAGGCAGAGAAGUGAUUAGACUUUGUUUGACACAGAAACCUCAUUUAUGAGAAAGAAGAAUGGAACUUAAUAAUAUGAGUAUUCAUGUGUCAAUAUGUGAAUUGCCCUGACCUGGAAUAGCCUUCAUUUUAAGUGCUUGAAUCUUAAGAAACUUCAGGGUUUAGGGCAGGCAGGUUGGGUAGCCUCUAAAGGUUGUAUUGUUAAGUUUCCGCUCAGUGUCAGAAUAAAGGCAGUGAAAUGUAAGUGAUGUUAAUAACUUGAUUAGAAUUUAAGGAGAUUAGAUGUCAGAGUGAGGGCUCUGCUGGUAAAAAAAUAACGUGCAAAGCUCAAAUUAAGCUGGAGUAAUGACAGUUUGGCAGUAAUGAAAGCCAGCUGUAUCAGGUUCUUUUCAUAGGGAUAGUGCCUCCUUAAAAUAUGAGGUUGACAUGUUGAUCCUUCGGAAUAUGCAGGAGACUUGGGCGGGGGUGUGGGAGGCAGGGGAUUCAUUCACAUUCAUUAUAAGCUACUUUAUUCCAAUUUUAAAAAUAAAAGUUUUCUUAGGGAUUCUGUCUUCUUUGAACUGGAAACUGAAGGCAGGCCUCUUCCCAGAAGGCUCCAGGCUGGAUCCUUUGCCACAGUGCAGCUCCUCCCUUGAUUCUUGUUAGGUCAUCUAGUUCUCAAUGGGAUUUUUUUUUAAAUCAGGAGCUUGAAUUCUUUGUAAUUCCUUGACAUUUUCUUCCUUCAUUUUACUCUGCUUAUUCAUUUUAAAAUCUCUUUUUAUAUUUGAGGUUGUAAAUGAGAUUAUAUGUGUUCUUCCAGAUCCCUGGACAAACAAACAAUCAAACAAACAAAAAACCCUCUAAUACUUUAGCCUUUAGUGUUGGUCUUUCAUUUCUGAAUGACAUUGUACAAAUGAAGAGGCUGUAUCGAUUAUAAAAGACUAGACAAGUGCAACUAUCCCAAGCAAUGUUUGCUUUCAUAAUCCUAAGUCUAAAAUAUUUACUAUGGCCUCCAGAAUUU
rnacentral:lncRNA from 1 species